rnacentral:rRNA from 1 species
GAGAGGACGACCAGCCACACUGGGACUGAGACACGGCCCAGACUCCUACGGGAGGCAGCCGUGGGGAAUUUUUCGCAAUGGGGGCAACCCUGACGAAGCAAUGCCGCGUGGAUGAAGAAGGCCUCGGGUUGUAAAGUCCUUUCGUGGAGGACGAAAAGGUGGGUUCUUAAUACAAUCUGCUAUUGACGUGAAUCCAAGAAGA